rnacentral:rRNA from 1 species
AUUGAACGCUGGCGGCAGGCCUAACACAUGCAAGUCGAACGGUAGCACAGAGAGCUUGCUCUCGGGUGACGAGUGGCGGACGGGUGAGUAACGUCUGGGAAACUGCCCGAUGGAGGGGGAUAACUACUGGAAACGGUAGCUAAUACCGCAUAACGUCGCAAGACCAAAGUGGGGGACCUUCGGGCCUCACACCAUCGGAUGUGCCCAGAUGGGAUUAGCUAGUAGGUGGGGUAAUGGCUCACCUAGGCGACGAUCCCUAGCUGGUCUGAGAGGAUGACCAGCCACACUGGAACUGAGACACGGUCCAGACUCCUACGGGAGGCAGCAGUGGGGAAUAUUGCACAAUGGGCGCAAGCCUGAUGCAGCCAUGCCGCGUGUAUGAAGAAGGCCUUCGGGUUGUAAAGUACUUUCAGCGGGGAGGAAGGCGAUGUGGUUAAUAACCGCAUUGAUUGACGUUACCCGCAGAAGAAGCACCGGCUAACUCCGUGCCAGCAGCCGCCGUAA